rnacentral:rRNA from 1 species
UAAUAGUGUAUAUUAAAGUUGUUGCAGUUAAAAAGCUCGUAGUUGAAUGUUGGUGUCGAACGAGCGGUCAGCUUCGGCUGUACUGCUCUCUCGACUCCUUCCUUCUGUGGACUACGUCGCACUUUACUGUGUGGCGCUAGGACGCAGAUCGUUUACUGUGAAAAAAUUAGAGUGUUCAAAGCAGGCCGUACGCUUGAAUACAUUAGCGUGGAAUAAUGGAAUAGGACGUCGGGCCUAUUUUGUUGGUUCUAGGACCGUCGUAAUGAUUAAUAGGGACAGUUGGGGCCGUUUAUAUUCCGUAGUCAGAGGUGAAAUUCUUGGAUUUACGGAAGAUAAACUACUGCGAAAGCGUUCGGCAAGGAUGUCUCCGUUAA